GAUGAACGCUGGCGGCGUGCCUAAUACAUGCAAGUCGAGCGAACAGACGAGGAGCUUGCUCCUCUGACGUUAGCGGCGGACGGGUGAGUAACACGUGGAUAACCUCCCUAUAAGACUGGGAUAACUUCGGGAAACCGGAGCUAAUCCCGGAUAAUAUAUUGAACCGCAUGGUUCAAUAGUAAAAGACGGCUUUGCUGUCACUUAUAGAUGGAUCCGCGCCGCAUUAGCGAGUUGGUAAGUUAACGGCUUACCAAGGCAAGGAUGCGUAGCCGACGUGAGAGGGGGAUCGGCCACACUGGAGCGGGACCGGGGACCAGGCUCCUACGGGAGGCAGCAGUAGGGAAUCUGCGGCAGUGGGGGAAAGCCUGACGGAGCAGCGCGGCGCGAGUGAUAAAGGUCUUCGGAUCGUAAAACUCGGUUAUGGGGGAAAAACAAAUGUGGAAGGAAAUAUGCACGGCUUGACGGUACCUAGUCAGAAAGCCACGGCUAACUACGUG
rnacentral:rRNA from 1 species